UCGCGAUCUCCUGACCUUGUGAUCCGCCCGCCUCGGCCUCCCAAAGUGCUGGGAUUACAGGCAUGAGCCAUCGAGCCGGCCUCAGAGUUUUCUAAGAAGUGUCCAGAGAGGUAGAAGACCAUGCCUGCUAAAGAUAAAGGAAAAUUUGAAGAUACGGGGGCAAAGGCGGACAAGGCCCGUUAUGAAAGAGAAAUGAAAACCUAUAUCCCUCCUAAAGGGGAGACAAAAAAAGAAGUUCAAGGACUCCAAUGCACCCAAGAGCUCUCCUUCGGCCUUUUUCUUGUUCUGCUUUGAGUAUCGCCAGAAAAUCAAAGGAGAACAUCCUGGCCUGCCCAUUGGUGAUGUUGGAAGAAACUGGGAGAGAUGUGGAAUAACACUGCUGCAGAUGACAAGCAGCCUUAUGAAAAGAAGGCUGCGAAGCUGAAGGAAAAAUACGAAAAGGAUAUUGCUGCAUAUCGAGCUAAAGGAAAGCCUGAUGCAGCAAAAAAGGAGUUGUCAAGGCUGAA